rnacentral:rRNA from 1 species
GAUGAACGCUGGCGGCGUGCCUAAUACAUGCAAGUCGAGCGAAGCGGGGGCGGGUGAGUAACACGUCGAUACCCUACUAUAAGACUGGGAUAACUUCCGGAAACCGGUGCCACUCACGUCACUUAUGGAUGGAGCCGGGCGGCAUUAGCUAGUUGGUACGGUAACGGCUUACCAAGGCAACGAUGCAUAGCCGACCUGAGAGGGUGAUCAGCCACACUGGAACUGAGACACGGUCCAGACUCCUACGGGAGGCAGCAGUAGGGAAUCUUCCGCAAUGGGCGAAAGCCUGACGCAGCAACGCCGCGUGAAUGAUGAAGGUCUUCGGAUCGUAAAAUACUGUUAUUAGGGAAGCGGUACCUAAACAGAAAGCAACGGCUAACUACGUGCCAGCAGCCGCGGUAAUUC